rnacentral:rRNA from 1 species
UCCCAGCAGUCCCAGUCGCAAUCGCUUUUAUUGGGUCUAAAACAUCCGUAGCUUGCUGGGCAAGUCUCUUGUGAAAUCCGACCUCUUAAGGGUCGAAGUGCGAGAGAUACUACCUAGCUAGGGACCGGGAGACGUAAGGAGUACAGCCGGGGUAGCGGUAAAAUGUGUUGAUCCCUGCUGGACUAACGAUAGCGAAGGCACCUUACGAGAACGGAUCUGACAGUGAGGGAUGAAGGCUAGGGGCGCAAAAUGG